UUUUAUGAAAAAUUAUGAUUUCAUCAAUAGCAAUUCUUUGCAUAAAAACAUGAUCAUUUAAAAAUAAAUAAGGAGCAUAAGAUCUACUUACCUCAUUCAUCUUAGAUCUUCAGACUUCGUUAGAAGAAUCAGCUAAUCCUAUUUAAAAUAUCAAAUCAUUAUCAAAUUCUAUUCCAUAAAUAUAACAAGAUUAAAUCAUAAGGAAAGAGGACUGUUGUCCAGAUGUGUCGGACCAUCCAGAUACCAGGGCAAUUCAGGAUCUCUGAUCUGAGGGUCAGAUUCAAGUGACUUGAUCAAGAAAUCGUAAAACACAGAUCAAAUUAAGAUCAAGUUCAAUCAAUAGGGUUCUUUAAUAAUGGUUUUGAAAAAUACUUGAUAUGGCCAAAUGAGGUUGACAUUCAGCACGGAUAUCAAAGCAAUUUUGGAUCAUCUUAUUAGAGUC
rnacentral:lncRNA from 1 species